UUUUCGCGUUUCCGAAUGUCGGAUCGUCUUAACUGGGCACGAAACUGUCGUGUACUGGACGUAAUCUUAUCGUAGCCGAAUCCGCGGCGCGAGAGGUAUAUACCGAGCUAUACCGAGAGAUACCAAGGAAGAAGGGAGAAAUCUUAUCAAACUCCAUCGGGAAAGGCGAAACUAAGUGUCGGGGCCGAAAGGUUGAGUGCGGAAUUUUGAGAGCGAUAUUUAUACGUGACCGUCACUCUUUUUACCUGCAGCAGCGAUCAAAAAUUAUACUUAUUCGAAACGCGAUCGCGGACGCGUUCGUUGCAGACUUUCAUCGCAGACUUUUGUCAUUCCUCUGUAGAAAUUUCGAAUUGUCUAUCUACGAAUCGUCUAUAUCUACAAUUCAGUGUCCUCUUCGGGGAGAAAAUUAGAGGGUAUCCUUAUGUUCGCGAAUUUUGACCAGGAACGGCGAAGUAUGCUCGCCGAGCGCGAACAAUGGCGUGUCCGAUCGUAAAACGGGACGUUUCGAGGAAAAAAGUGCCUCCACCGCAAACCGAAAGGAACGACCGCGAUAAGGCCCCGGCGCGCGGUUCUCCGCCGAGAAAAACAUUCGCCCGGCUUUAGCGGAAUAGCAGUGCGAACUUUCCCCAAGUUUCCCGGUGCGGUAAAGUGCGCGCCGACGUUACGUAUACGCAUCCAACUUUUGGCACACACAGGAUGAGAAACGUUUGCGUUACGUUGAAGUUACGUUGAUGAUCCCGCUCUUGCUUCUCCACGUAUCGCGAGUAAACCUCGUCUUUAAAAAAAAAAAAUAAAAAAAAACCGCGGAGAGAAAAACUUAAUUUUUAAUUAAAUUAUUUUUCAAAUUAUGUGUUGACUUUGUACUUUCUACAACAGCUUUUCGCGGUUUGUUUGUUAGGCAUUGCUAUUCAAACUGCAUCGAGAUUACAAUUUCAACGAUGAUUGGAAAACUGAUUCUGAAUGCACUUCUGUAGUCAGUUUUAUUUAUUCGUAAUUAAUUGUAAUGAUAAUGAAAUUGUACAUUCAAGUUAGCUCAAUACGGUCUAAGAAAUUUUAUGAAACAAAUUAGCGCUUCGUUGUGGCCCUUUCGACAGUCUGUUCUUGUGAUACCAAAAUAUUAUCGGCAACGAUAGAUCUAUUUUCGAAGCUAAUAAUCUUAUCUCGGGUUUUUUACAAGUAUAAAUAUACAACGAAAUAUAUAUACUUAUUUAUGUUAUCUACUAUUAACAAAUUCAAAGAAAUUUAGAAAUCAUGUUUGUAUAGAUAAAUCUCUUUCUCUCUCUUUUUUUUAUGUUAUGCAAAUACACCUUAUACAUAAAUGUGAAUGUAAUAUAAUUAAAUCAUUCGAAAAGAGAUUUUACAAAGUGA